rnacentral:rRNA from 2 species
GUUUCGGUGGUCAUAGCGUGAGGGAAACGCCCGGUUACGUUCCGAACCCAGAAGCUAAGCCUUACCUCGCCGAUGGUACUGCACG